rnacentral:rRNA from 1 species
GGCUCAGAUUGAACGCUGGCGGCAGGCCUAACACAUGCAAGUCGAGCGGUAGAGAGGUGCUUGCACCUCUUGAGAGCGGCGGACGGGUGAGUAAUGCCUAGGAAUCUGCCUGGUAGUGGGGGAUAACGUUCGGAAACGGACGCUAAUACCGCAUACGUCCUACGGGAGAAAGCAGGGGACCUUCGGGCCUUGCGCUAUCAGAUGAGCCUAGGUCGGAUUAGCUAGUUGGUGAGGUAAUGGCUCACCAAGGCGACGAUCCGUAACUGGUCUGAGAGGAUGAUCAGUCACACUGGAACUGAGACACGGUCCAGACUCCUACGGGAGGCAGCAGUGGGGAAUAUUGGACAAUGGGCGAAAGCCUGAUCCAGCCAUGCCGCGUGUGUGAAGAAGGUCUUCGGAUUGUAAAGCACUUUAAGUUGGGAGGAAGGGCAGUUACCUAAUACGUGAUUGUUUUGACGUUACCGACAGAAUAAGCACCGGCUAACUCUGUGCCAGCAGCCGCGGUAAUACAGAGGGUGCAAGCGUUAAUCGGAAUUACUGGGCGUAAAGCGCGCGUAGGUGGUUUGUUAAGUUGGAUGUGAAAGCCCCGGGCUCAACCUGGGAACUGCAUCCAAAACUGGCAAGCUAGAGUAUGGUAGAGGGUG